rnacentral:rRNA from 1 species
UACGAAGGGUGCAAGCGUUACUCGGAAUUACUGGGCGUAAAGCGUGCGUAGGUGGUGAGUUAAGUCUGAUGUGAAAUCCCCGGGCUCAACCUGGGAAUGGCAUUGGAUACUGGCUCGCUAGAGUGCGGUAGAGGGUGGUGGAAUUCCCGGUGUAGCAGUGAAAUGCGUAGAGAUCGGGAGGAACAUCUGUGGCGAAGGCGGCCACCUGGACCAACACUGACACUGAGGCACGAAAGCGUGGGGAUCAAACAGG